rnacentral:rRNA from 1 species
GACGAACGCUGGCGGCGUGCUUAACACAUGCAAGUCGAACGGAAAGGCCCUGCUUUUGUGGGGUGCUCGAGUGGCGAACGGGUGAGUAACACGUGAGUAACCUGCCCUUGACUUUGGGAUAACUUCAGGAAACUGGGGCUAAUACCGGAUAGGAGCUCCUGCUGCAUGGUGGGGGUUGGAAAGUUUCGGCGGUUGGGGAUGGACUCGCGGCUUAUCAGCUUGUUGGUGGGGUAGUGGCUUACCAAGGCUUUGACGGGUAGCCGGCCUGAGAGGGUGACCGGCCACAUUGGGACUGAGAUACGGCCCAGACUCCCACGGGAGGCAGCAGUGGGGAAUAUUGCACAAUGGGCGGAAGCCUGAUGCAGCAACGCCGCGUGCGGGAUGACGGCCUUCGGGUUGUGAACCGCUUUCGCCUGUGACGAAGCGUGAGUGACGGUAAUGGGUAAAGAAGCACCGGCUAACUACGUG